rnacentral:lncRNA from 1 species
GCCAGUUUGUUUCUCCUUGCCCUCUGCCUCAUUCCCAGACCGCUGGUUCUAAGCAGACCCUCAGAGAUGAAGAAGUGAUGGUGCUGUCCCUUUAACCAUGUUUUACUGGAAGGAGAGUGCGCCAGGGAGGAGCAAGGAGGGGGAAGGGAGUUUCUAGUUUCGAAUGGAGAAGCAGAACAUGAUGAAGCAUUUUCCCCCCCUUUAAAGAUCCAGUCAUGAGUCUGUUUGCAGGGGGCAGAGGGGCUGGUUUGCAGUCGGUGCUGGGAGGAUGGAGUUCCUUUCAUAAAUGUAUCCAGGUCCCACUGCGGCCUCACCAGACUUGUCAUCAAACCCACUUUCCAGAGCAAGAAACCGAGGUUCUAGGACUACAGCUGAUUCCUGUGCUUCCUGGAUGCUUGGCCCACAAUCUUGACUUGAACGAAUCGCGCAACAAGCGCCCCUCUGCAGGCAGCGCGACGGUGACGUCUGCGUCACGUUCAGCCCCGCCCCUCGGCGCCGGAAACGCCCGAACGCCUCCUCCGGCCACGGAAGAUUAUGGAGCGCUCCUCCCAAGGCCGGGCUCGGAGAAGCCGGGGAACGCGACGUUCAGCCGCAACCCGACUUCC